CCUACGGGAGGCAGCAGUGGGGAAUAUUGGACAAUGGGCGAAAGCCUGAUCCAGCAAUACCGCGUGUGUGAAGAAGGCCUUCGGGUUGUAAAGCACUUUAAGCAGGGAAGAAAAAAUUCAAGCUAACAUCUUGAGUCUUGACGGUACCUGAAGAAUAAGCACCGGCUAACUCUGUGCCAGCAGCCGCGGUAAUACAGAGGGUGCAAGCGUUAAUCGGAUUUACUGGGCGUAAAGCGUGUGUAGGUGGUUGGGAAAGUCAAUUGUGAAAGCCCCGGGCUCAACUCGGGAACUGCUUUUGAUACUGUCUGACUAGAAUUCGGUAGAGGGAGGCGGAACUCCAGGUGUAGCGGUGAAAUGCGUAGAUAUCUGGAAGAACACCAAUGGCGAAGGCAACCUCCUGGGCCUGAAUUGACACUGAGACACGAAAGCGUGGGGAUCAAACAGGAUUAGAUACCCUGGUAGUCCACGCCGUAAACGAUGACACUUGACGUCGGUUGCUCUGCGAUCGUGUCGUAGCUACGUACGAGUAGUACGUCCGUCCGUCGGGAGGUACGGCCGGUCGUAGGUUAGUUAACGUUACGUAAAGUUAAAGUUAGACGGCGNGAGACGNGCGACGGACGACGACGAGGGAGGAGG
rnacentral:rRNA from 1 species